rnacentral:rRNA from 1 species
CACGUAGGGCGCAAGCGUUGUCUGGAAUUAUUGGGCGUAAAGAGCUCGUAGGCGGUUUGUCGCGUCUGCCGUGAAAGUCCGGGGCUCAACUCCGGAUCUGCGGUGGGUACGGGCAGACUAGAGUGGUGUAGGGGAGACUGGAAUUCCUGGUGUAGCGGUGAAAUGCGCAGAUAUCAGGAGGAACACCGAUGGCGAAGGCAGGUCUCUGGGCAUUAACUGACGCUGAGGAGCGAAAGCAUGGGGAGCGAACAGG